GGCUUUUCUUCUCCCAGGAAGAAUCCAGAAUAGUUCAGACAAGCUUCAGGUCCGCCAGAACCGGGGAAAACAACGUCUCUGCCUGGAUGGACUGGCCUAUCUCUGCUGGAUUCCCGAAGUGCAUUGUGUAGAGACAGCAACUCAGGUCAGGCUAAAAGCUCAAGCAAGCAAGCGCGCACACACACGCGCGCACACACACACACACACACACAAACACUCAGCUUCCUUAGGACAAGAUAAAAUCUUAGCAUUCCCCUCUCCCCGAUUAGGUAGGUCUCUGGGAGGACUAAGGCUUCAGGUGCAAGGCUCAGAUAACCUGCAGUGUCUCUCCAACUCUGGGAUGACAAAGACCUCACUUCCCUUUUCUGGUGUUCACACAACAAUGAGAAAGUACGGGUAGCCUGCAGAAAGACCUCUCCAUUCAUGGUCCCCCAGGGGUGUGGGUUCUGAGAGGUGGGACCAGCUGCCAGGCCCUUUCUCCAUUGGUUGAGUUCAGCAGGUAACCUGAAGCUUUGCUGAGAGGUGCAUAAAUAAAGAGUGAAACUAGUACCACCUCCUUGAAAUGGGCUGAGUCCCUCUUGCUCACCCUUGACUUGGAAAAACCAGUUUCUCUUUUAUUGUCUGUUACUAAUCUCUAUUCUAAAAAUUCAGCUCAAUUCUCAACCAUACUCCAAACUCUCUCUUUUCCAGCUACCUUUACUCCCUCUCCUUCAAUUCCACUUUCCUCUGCUUACUUUUUUUUUUUUUCUGACAGGGUCUCACUUUGUCGCCCGGGCAGGAGUGCAGUGGCUCAAUCUUGGGCUCACUGCAGCCUCAACCUCCCAGGUUCAAGCGAUUCUCCUGCCUCAGCCCCUCAAGUAGCUGGGACUACAAGCGCACACCACCACGCCUGACUAAUUUUUUGUAUUUUUUUGUAGAGGCGGGGUUUCACCAUGUUGCCCAGACUGGUCUUGAACUCCUGAGCUUAAGCAAUCCACCUGCCUCGGCCUCCCAAAGUGUUGGGAUCACAGGCGUGAGCCACCGCAUCCGGCCUCAUGUUCUUUUUCAUUAAAGAGAGAAAUCAACUAUUCAGGACCGGCCCCCACCUUUCCUCAGGAGUCAUUUCUGUUCCGCACAGGCCUGCUGAACUGGGUGCUUUAUAUAGGACACUGUCAUCUCUCAAGUACCCAUCUUGGAGGGUACGGACCCCACAUGAGGAAAGGACCAACCACACCGAGCUCAGUUAUGGCACACACAGUGGGACCUAGACAAAGGGAGAGGGUGACCGACAUCCCAACUAGAUUUCAGUGGAGUGAAGUUCAGGAGGCAUGGAGCUGACAACCAUGAGGCCUCGGCAGCCACCGCCACCACCGCCGCCGCCACCACCGUAGCAGCAGCAGCAGCAGCAGCAGCAGCAGCAGCAGCAGCAAGAGUAACUCUGACUUAGGAAUAGAGACAGCCAGAGAGAAAUGUGAUCAAUGAAGGAGACAUCUGGAGUGUGCGUGCUUCUUCAGAGGGACGGGUGAUGGGCAGAUUGGAAAAAGCACCGCAGAUGGGAACCUUAAUCUUUCUUUUCUAAAAUUGAUGCUAUGAAAAUUUGCGUUUUCUGUAACUUGUAAAAACUAAAAGUUGCUUGUCUACUGAAAAGCCUCUCUGCCUCUAUGUUUUAUACCAUCGGAUGCCAACUCCCGGCCUUCUAAGCCACCUCCCCUUUAGGCUAAAACUGAGACAUGAACUUGAAAAAUUGACACUGGCUUCCUCUCUCUUUAGGGUCCCCAGGCAGGUGGCUGGGACACUAUUUGCAAUCAGCAAGGAACCCUGCUGCCCUUAGACUCCCCACAGAGCAAGCAGAACUUGCAGAAUGGGGUAAAAACACUCUAUUAAAGAUUUUUUAAACCUAUUUAUAUUGUAAUAAAGUAAAUGUAAAUAAAAUUUAAGUGAAGGCAGAUUGCAGAUAUUUCCGAUGCUAUACAAGAUAUAUCUCAUAGUAUGGGUGUAGAUUCUGCAAAGGUUAAUGCAGUUAAACAUAUUUGACACAUAAAAAUGUCAGAUCCAACAUUAAUCAUUCACCAAUUGUAAUUGCCUUUCUAUGGGUCUCUUCUCCCCAAGACAUAGCUUAAAACACCAGGCUCGGUAGAAAUCUGGGAGGAAAAAAGCAAAUAAUACCUCUCAGCUGUCAGGGUCUAUGAUACGCUUUGAUAGAUUUAGCACUGAUUUCAUUCUCUUUACAAUUCAGUGUGAUUGGGUGUGCGUGUGUGUGUGUGUGUGUGUGUGUGUGUGUGUGUGUGUUACUCCAUGUUUCUCCUUUUUAAGGAAGGAGAAGGUGUGGAACAAGAGAAAGUUCCUAAGUCUGAAGGAAGUCCAACCCAGUUAUGAAGGGAAUGCCAUCCACAAGCCUUUUUUAUAAUUGGCCCCUGCCUCAGGUAAAGGGGUCUCCUUUAAGGAGCCAGUCUGGCUAAAUUGGCAGAUUCUGAACAAAGCCUGGCCCUGACAAGUCUUCAGAAAAACCGGUUUUCACCUCCAGAAUGUGCCCCAG
rnacentral:lncRNA from 1 species